rnacentral:rRNA from 1 species
UGAGUUUAAUCCUGGCUCAGAAUAAACGUUGUUUAUAUGCUUAAUACAUGCAAGUUUUUUGUUAAUCUAUAUGUAUUUAACAAAGCGCACGGGUGUAAAAUGUAUAAGAAAUUACCUCAAAGUUUGAAAAAGUUAUAAAAAACGAAUUUCAAAUAUAAAAAAAGAACAAAAUUGCUUUGAGAUAUGCUUGUAUAGAAUUAGGUUGUUGGUGUAAAGUUAAAAGCUUACCAAGCCGAUGAUUCUUAAUUGAUCUGAGAGGAUGAUCAAUCACAUUAAGACUGAGACAAUGCUUAAACUUUUAUAAAAGGCAGCAGUACGGAAUAUUGGACAAUAAGUGUAAACUUGAUCCAGCAAUAUAAAGUGAAUGAGCGAAGGCCAUUGAGUUGUAAAGUUCUUUUAUUAAAAAAGAUUAUGACUUAUUUAAUGAAUAAACCCGGACUAAUUUCGUGCCAGCAGUCGCGGUUAUACGAAACGGGUUAACGUUAUUCAGAAUUACUGGGUGUAAAACAUGUGUAGACUACUAUUGUUAUGUAGAAAAUUAAAGCCUAAACAUAAAAAUUUAGAUCAUUUUCUACACAAAUAGUUUGAGUAUAGUUAAAGAUUAUAGAAUUUUAGGUGAAGCAAUAAAAUGUGUAGAUAUCUGAAAGAAUGUCAAUAUGCGAAGGCAAUAUUCUGAACUAAAACUGACGUUAAUACAUGAAAGCAUGGGGAGCAAAUUGGAUUAGAUACCCAGUUAGUCCAUUGCUGUAAACUAUAAAUAUUCGCUUUAUAAUUACUUAAAAUUGUGAAGCUAAACUAACGUGUUAAAUAUUUUACCUGAGUAGUAUGCUUGCAAUAGUGAAACUCAAAGGAACUGACGGGACUUUAUAAAAUUGGUGGACUAUGUGGUUUAAUUCGUCAAUACACGCAAAACCUUACCAAUUCUUGAAUAAUUGAUAACUAAACUAAAAUUUUAUGUUAAAUCAAUUACAGGUGCUGCAUGGUUGUCGUCAGUUCGUGUUGUGAAAUUUCUGGUUAAGUCCUGUAACGAACGAAACUCUAUUUUUUAAUUAUUAAUUAUAUUGCUUAAAAGACUGUAUUAGUUUUUUUGAUAUAAUAUACUUUAAAAAAAAUACUUAUGAUAUGUAAGAUGAAAAUAGAAUGACGUCAAAUCUUCAUGGCCUUUAUGAAUUGGGCUACACAUGUAGUACAAUAAUAGUGUCAAAAAGUUGCAAUAAUGAAAAUUGGAGCUAAUCUCGAAAAACUAUAAUAUUACGAAUUGUUUUCUGAAACUCGAAAACAUGAAGUUGGAAUCAACAGUAAUCGUUUAUUAGAAAGGAAUGGUGAAUUUAUUUUAAAGUUUGUACAUACCGCCCGUCACAGCCCGAAAGUUGGUUUUAUUCAAAGAUAAUUUUUUUUCGUUUAUAGAAUAUAUUGCAAGGUUAAUGCGAGUCUUUCUAUGUUUGAAAAAUAAUAUUUAGAAUAAGAUCAAUAAUUAUGCUGAAGUCGUAACAAGGUAACGGUAGAGGAAUCUGUCGUUG